GCGGAGGAAAAGAAACCAACAGGGAUUGCCUCAGUAACGGCGAGUGAAGCGGCAACAGCUCAAAUUUGAAAUCUGGCUCCUUCGGGGUCCGAGUUGUAAUUUGCAGAGGAUGCGUCGGGUACGGGUCCCUACCGAGUUCCCUGGAACGGGACGCCAUAGAGGGUGAGAGCCCCGUCUGGUAGGAUACCCAGCCCAUGUGACGCUCCCUCGACGAGUCGAGUAGUUUGGGAAUGCUGCUCUAACGGGAGGUAUACUCCUUCCAAAGCUAAAUACCGGCUGGAGACCGAUAGCGCACAAGUAGAGUGAUCGAAAGAUGAAAAGCACUUUGAAAAGAGAGUCAAACAGCACGUGAAAUUGUUAAAAGGGAAGCACUCGCUACCAGACUUGGGUUCGGCGGUUCAACCGGGGCCACGCCCCGGGGCAUUCCGCCGGCUCAGGCCAGCAUCAGCUUUCCGUCGGGGGCAAAGACGUCGGGAAUGUAGCUCCUCCUCGGGGGAGUGUUAUAGCCCGGCGUGUCAUACCCUUCGGGGGGCUGAGGUACGCGCUUCUGCAAGGAUGCUGGCGUAAUGGUAGCUAGUGACCCGUCUUGAAACACGGACCAAGGAGUCAACCUUAUGUGCGAGUGCCCGGGCGUAAAACCCCAGCGCGGAAUGAAAGUGAACGUAGGUGAGAGCUUCGGCGCAUCACCGACCGAUCCUGAUGUCCUCGGACGGAUUUGAGUGAGAGCAUAUAGGGUUGGACCCGAAAGAAGAUGAACUAUGCGUGUGUAGGGUGAAGCCAGAGGAAACUCUGGUGGAGGCUCGCAGCGGUUCUGACGUGCAAAUCGA
rnacentral:misc_RNA from 1 species